UACGGAGGAUGCAAGCGUUAUCCGGAAUGAUUGGGCGUAAAGGGUCCGCAGGUGGCAAUGUAAGUCUGCUGUCAAAGAAUGAGGCUUAACCUCAUCAAGGCAGUGGAAACUACAUAGCUAGAGUACGGUCGGGGUAGAAGGAAUUCCUGGUGUAGCGGUGAAAUGCGCAGAUAUCGGGAGGAACACCUAUGGCGAAGGCAGCUCGCUGGGACGUUACUGACGCUGAGACGCGAAAGCGUGGGGAGCAAACAGG
rnacentral:rRNA from 1 species